AUCGCUUCUCGGCCUUUUGGCUAAGAUCAAGUGUAGUAUCAUAUGAUUUUUACGUGGAAACAAAACAAAAAGGCUGUCAUAUUUUAGAUCUUUUGGUCUUGUUUGUGGCAUUGGACAUGAUCUGGGACAGUAUACUGGAUUUUGGGUGCCCCCAUGUAAAAAUCAAGAGGAUCCAUGAGGAUCCAUGCUUU